UACGUAGGCAGCGAGCGUUGUUCGGAGUUACUGGGCGUAAAGGGCGCGUAGGCGGUGUGUCAAGUCAGGCGUGAAAGCCCCGGGCUCAACCUGGGAACCGCGCUUGAGACUGGCACGCUCGAGUUCGGGAGAGGAUGGUGGAAUUCCCAGUGUAGAGGUGAAAUUCGUAGAUAUUGGGAAGAACACCGAUGGCGAAGGCAGCCAUCUGGACCGACACUGACGCUGAGGCGCGAAAGCGUGGGGAGCAAACAGG
rnacentral:rRNA from 1 species